UUCUUAUCCAGAGAGGUGGAGGGAACGGCCCUUUGAAACCUCGGCAGCAGAUCUUUUUAAAAGAUACUGUGCCAAUUCCAGCAAGUUUAUUUUUAUAGGCUUGAAAGAUAAGAA
rnacentral:ncRNA from 1 species